UACAGAGGGGGCGAGCGUUGUUCGGAAUUACUGGGCGUAAAGGGCGCGUAGGCGGCCUUCUAAGUCGAACGUGAAAUCCCCGGGCUCAACCCGGGAACUGCGUCCGAUACUGGGAGGCUUGAAUCCGGGAGAGGGAUGUGGAAUUCCAGGUGUAACGGUGAAAUGCGUAGAUAUCUGGAGGAACACCGGUGGCGAAGGCGGCAUCCUGGACCGGUAUUGACGCUGAGGCGCGAAAGCCAGGGGAGCAAACGGG
rnacentral:rRNA from 1 species